rnacentral:rRNA from 1 species
GCUGGCGGCGUGCCUAACACAUGCAAGUCGAACGAAGCGUGCGGAUGGAAUUUCUUCGGAGAGGAAGCCUGCAUGACUGAGUGGCGGACGGGUGAGUAACGCGUGGGCAACCUGCCCUGCACAGGGGGACAACAGCCGGAAACGGCUGCUAAUACCGCAUAAGCGCACAGCUUCGCAUGGAGCGGUGUGAAAAGCUGCGGCGGUGCAGGAUGGGCCCGCGUCUGAUUAGCUGGUUGGCGGGGCAACGGCCCACCAAGGCGACGAUCAGUAGCCGGCCUGAGAGGGUGGACGGCCACAUUGGGACUGAGACACGGCCCAGACUCCUACGGGAGGCAGCAGUGGGGAAUAUUGCACAAUGGGGGAAACCCUGAUGCAGCGACGCCGCGUGAGCGAAGAAGUAUUUCGGUAUGUAAAGCUCUAUCAGCAGGGAAGAAAUUGACGGUACCUGAGUAAGAAGCUCCGGCUAAAUACGUGCCAGCAGCCGCGGUAAUACGUAUGGAGCAAGCGUUAUCCGGAUUUACUGGGUGUAAAGGGAGCGUAGGCGGCCUGCCAAGUCUGAUGUGAAAUACCGGGGCUCAACCCCGGGGCUGCAUUGGAAACUGGCAGGCUGGAGUGUCGGAGAGGCAGGCGGAAUUCCUAGUGUAGCGGUGAAAUGCGUAGAUAUUAGGAGGAACACCAGUGGCGAAGGCGGCCUGCUGGACGAUGACUGACGCUGAGGCUCGAAAGCGUGGGGAGNCAACAGGAUUAAAUACCCUG